GGCUGCUGUUCAUGCUCAGCGAGCGCGUCCAUCUCCCCCCACACCCUCGAGCCCUUAAGUUGCAGCUUUUCACCACCUCGCUGAGCAGAGCCGAGCAGAGCCGAGCCGAGCAGAGAUGCUGCUCAGCGGGAACAGAAGGCACAGCCUGCUGACAGGUAGCCAGCAUGGACCCUGAGCCCGCCAGGGCCGGCUGCUGAGACAGGUCUCCGGUGUCGCUCUCCUGCUCCCGGUGAUGCCCCAGUUCACCUUCGCCUGUUUCUGCGGCCUCCACGGCUUCUGCAAGAUGAAGAGGAAGAAGGAAGAGGCCGGCGGGGGGCAGGAGACGGCCGUGUGAGGGGCGGCCCCCCGGACCCCUCCUGCCCCUCGGCUCCCCGGGGCAGAGCCGAUCCCGCCCCGACCUCGCUGGGGAUGUCACCCAGGUGCCACCGGGGAUGUCACCCAGGUGCCACCGCCACCCUCCCUGAUCCCGCCGGGACCCGGAAUUCCCUGUCCCCCACCCAGCUCCAGCAAAUCCCAGCAGACAGAGCCGGAAAAAUCCCAAAAACCGGCCCAGGGCUGCACAAUGCCCGGAGCAGCUCGGCCUCCCCAUCGCGGAUCCUGCUGGAAUUCCUACAAAUCCCAGCGCCGUGGAUUCCUGCUGUUCAUGGGAAGAGCCUCCGGCUCCUCGGGAAGGCAGAAAGAGGAAUUUAUUUAUUUAUUCCCAGCAGCAAUAAUCCUUUUUAACCCCAUCACAGCAAGGAAAGGAUCCAGCUUCCCUCGGAGCUGCCCUGCUCACGUUCCCACCGGGAAUUUCGGCAAUUCCUGCAUCCUGGUGGCAGCCAAGAGAUAAAAAACAAACCAAAAAAACCCCUUUUUAAAUAUUUUUCUCACGUGGUCAAAGCUCUCCCUUCUCCCUUCCACAGGGAGGAUUUAUUCCAGGUAUUCCCAGUCUUCCAGCAGGCCAAAAUAAUUGGUGGCUGCCCCAAAAAUCGGAGUUUUUCCGAAUGUGAUGCCAAGGACAAAGCUCCAGGUGGGCUCAGGGAGCUCCAGUUCUUUGGGAAACGCUGACUUUGUCCUGUUCCUAUUUUUGCACAUCAGCAGAGCCUCCCCUGUUCCACCUUUGCAUCCCCAGCGCUGCCCUUGGCGAGGACUUCUGGGAUCAGCUCUGGGCCAAAAAACACCCCAAAAUCCAAGGAAGUUGGUGGAACUCCAAGAGAAUUUCCUGAAUGUAACUUUAUUUUUGCACAAGGGUUUGUGGUGGCCGCACGAGGGAUGUGUUUAAGGAUUUAAAGAAAUUGGGAUUAAUCCCUGCUCUGGAAAUGGUCACGGGUGUAAAGAUAAGGGUGGAAUUCCAGCCUUGUUUUAUUCCAGGAUAAAUCCACAGGGACACUGAGAUGCGUGGGAAAAGAUUAAUUCUAGAGAAACCAGCGUGGACUGACUCCCAUCCCUCCGAUUUCUCCUGUUUCUCCAGGUUUUUCCUAUGCAAAAACACACAAAAAACCAGCAAAAACAAAGCCAGGCCAGCAGCAGGUCCUGACUCAACAAAGCCCGGCUUAAACCUCAGGCUUUGCUUUGGGGUUUUGCUCCACCCCAUCGAUUUUCCUGAUUCCAGCCUGGAUCGAUCCCUAGCCAGGAGGGAAAGGCUCAGAAUUCUCCUUGCAGCCUCUCCUGGCAGGGAUCAAAGGGUUAAAUCUCUUUUUAUUGUCCUUUUUUUAUCCCUGCUGCCCGGAUUUCUUUGGGAAAGGACUCCCAGGGUGUUCCUCGGGAGCCUCCCAGCCCAGGAGCCAUAGGAAUCUGUACUGUACAUUUAUUUUUUGGGGUUUUUUUUGGGGGGGAAUAAAAGUG